UAGGAAAAAGCUAGCGUGGCUUCCCUUUUCCUCUCGGUUGAGGCCCGUUUGACCCGUUCUCAAUAUUCCUUCCAAAGAGUGGGCAUCGCUGGAAAACUCGCCUGGCCUCGUAGCCCUGGAAGGACCUAGGGGACAGGUUCUGACAAGGAAGAGCCCUGGGCGGGUCUUAAGAGGCCAUUCAUUUCUUACCAACUCUGAGUCACUGAAUAAAACCACUUCCCCCAGUGGGCCCCUUGGUUUCUUCACCUGUAAAAUGGGUGCGAUGUGUGAGGAUGAAAUUGCGGUAAAAUAAAACCAUGGCAGUAAGAGAUGCUUUUCUCUGGCACAUCCCACCUGCUGGGGGUAAGCGGCGCCACCCUCUGGAGUUACAGCCUCAAGGCAGUCCUGCUGAAGGUGAUGUGGCCGCCCUCAACCGACGCAUCCAGCUUGUUGAGGAGGAGUUGGACAGGGCUCAGGAACGACUGGCCACGGCCCUGCAGAAGCUGGAGGAGGCAGAAAAAGCUGCAGAUGAGAGUGAGAG
rnacentral:sRNA from 1 species